CAUGUUCCAUCAAUUUGAAUAAGUUUACAAAAUACAAAACCUUUAAUGCAUGGUUCAUACGCCCAGAAAAGAGUCGAUGGAAUAUUUUAUUUCCACUAACACAAGUUCUGUCUGGGGUAAAUAUCGACAAUGUCUCCAAAAUUGCAACAGUUCCCGGAGCAUAAUGCAUAAGUGCAACCAAAUAUUUUGGAAGUUCUAUGUACAAAU
rnacentral:lncRNA from 1 species